rnacentral:lncRNA from 1 species
GUUUGAGUCUGGGGCUACAUUACUGUAGCUAUACGGCCAUUAAAUAGUUUUCUUUUACCUUGUCAGCUAUUUCCCCAUCUAUAAAAAUGUAAUUACCAAAGACUGAGCAACUUUUGUUUGUGGAUUCAACUGGAUCUAACUACUUCAGGAAAAAAUGAACCAAAUAAGAGGUUUGGAUGGAGUUCAGAAAGAACUGGAGGAAAAAGAGAGCGAAAUGAAAAAAGAAAUAUCCGAAUAUCAGAGCAGACUUCAUCAAGUAGAGAAAAACCAUGAAACUCUUCUGGCAGAAGCAAAGAAAAAGUGCUACAGCAUGUUUUGCAUGAGACGUGCGAGCGUGCGCUUACCCCACUCCUUCGCAUAUAAAGACCCCACCCCACUGGCAGUUACCAUCGAAAAGUUAAAUAGAGAGCGUCAUACAGAUCUCUGCGCGUUCGUCAUUUGGGACCCCAUCCGAACCCACUGACAAUGAAAUGAAGAAGGAAAAAAACCUUCUUUGCUGCCAGUCUGAGCAAAAAAUCACAAAAAAUCCAUCAGCUAGAAGAACUAAAAAUAGCCCAACACUUUCUAAAGGAGACCAGAAUUAUGCUGAAGAGAUGAAAAAUAAGAGUUUGUCUCAGAAAAUAGAACUGGAAGCACAAGAAGCCGAGCUUCAGCAUUUAAAAACCAACAAUAAAUUGCUCCAGGAUUCAGUCCAGGAGCUACAACUUGAAAAUGGAACCCUUAAGAAUAUGAACAAGGCUUUAGAAGAAGAAAAAGUGGACAAGCUGAAGUAUAUAGAUCGACUGAAGAAGCAAAAUAGAUUUGCUCGCAGUGAAACGAAGACAUGGAUGAAAUCCUGUGCUGAUGAGGUUGCCAACUCCCUACAUGAGAAUGAGCCGGAGUAUGAGACAGACGGAUUCCCAGAGGUGGUGAAAAAAGUCAAAUUUGUAAUGACCGACAAACACACAGAGAGACUGCAGGCCAAAGUGAGAAACAUAAAAUUGUAUGGCUCCUCAUUUCAUUGCCUGAAACUGAGAAGCUGGAUAAGUGAUGAGGUUAUUGAUGCAUAUUUGAGCUGUGUGGUCGAGAAAGCAGAUGGAAAGGUACAAGCCAUCUCAUCAGUCGUUUCUACUUUCAUUCUCUCAGACAGAGCUCCACAAAUGAAAGUGAAGAUAGCCUCGAUGGGAAAAAAAAAAAAAAGAAUUGUUAAUAAUUGA